CGAACGAUGAACCACACUUCGGGUGGGGAUUAGUGGCGAACGGGUGAGUAACACGUGGGCAAUCUGCCCUGCACUCUGGGACAAGCCCUGGAAACGGGGUCUAAUACCGGAUAUGAGCUUCCACCGCAUGGUGGGGGCUGUAAAGCUCCGGCGGUGCAGGAUGAGCCCGCGGCCUAUCAGCUUGUUGGUGAGGUAACGGCUCACCAAGGCGACGACGGGUAGCCGGCCUGAGAGGGCGACCGGCCACACUGGGACUGAGACACGGCCCAGACUCCUACGGGAGGCAGCAGUGGGGAAUAUUGCACAAUGGGCGCAAGCCUGAUGCAGCGACGCCGCGUGAGGGAUGACGGCCUUCGGGUUGUAAACCUCUUUCAGCAGGGAAGAAGCGAAAGUGACGGUACCUGCAGAAGAAGCGCCGGCUAACUACGUGCCAGCAGCCGCGGUAAUACGUAGGGCGCGAGCGUUGUCCGGAAUUAUUGGGCGUAAAGAGCUCGUAGGCGGCUUGUCGCGUCGGUUGUGAAAGCCCGGGGCUUAACCCCGGGUCUGCAGUCGAUACGGGCAGGCUAGAGUUCGGUAGGGGAGAUCGGAAUUCCUGGUGUAGCGGUGAAAUGCGCAGAUAUCAGGAGGAACACCGGUGGCGAAGGCGGAUCUCUGGGCCGAUACUGACGCUGAGGAGCGAAAGCGUGGGGAGCGAACAGGAUUAGAUACCCUGGUAGUCCACGCCGUAAACGGUGGGCACUAGGUGUGGGCAACAUUCCACGUUGUCCGUGCCGCAGCUAACGCAUUAAGUGCCCCGCCUGGGGAGUAC
rnacentral:rRNA from 1 species